GACGAACGCUGGCGGCGUGCUUAACACAUGCAAGUCGAACGGAAAGGCCCUGCUUUUGUGGGGUGCUCGAGUGGCGAACGGGUGAGUAACACGUGAGUAACCUGCCCUUGACUUUGGGAUAACUUCAGGAAACUGGGGCUAAUACCGGAUAGGAGCUCCUGCUGCAUGGUGGGGGUUGGAAAGUUUCGGCGGUUGGGGAUGGACUCGCGGCUUAUCAGCUUGUUGGUGGGGUAGUGGCUUACCAAGGCUUUGACGGGUAGCCGGCCUGAGAGGGUGACCGGCCACAUUGGGACUGAGAUACGGCCCAGACUCCGACGGGAGGCAGCAGUGGGGAAUAGUGCACAAGGGGCGGAAGCCUGAUGCAGCAACGCCGCGUGCGGGAUGACGGCCUUCGGGUUGUAAACCGCUUUCGCCUGUGACGAAGCGUGAGUGACGGUAAUGGGUAAAGAAGCACCGGCUAACUACGU
rnacentral:rRNA from 1 species